AACGAACGCUGGCGGCGUGCCUAACACAUGCAAGUCGAACGAGAAAGGGGCUUCGGCUCCGAGUAAAGUGGCGCACGGGUGAGUAACACGUGGGUAACCUGCCUCUAAGAUUGGGAUAACUCGUCGAAAGAUGAGCUAAUACCGAAUAAGACCACAGUUCCCGCGGGAACAGGGGUCAAAGGUAGCCUCUGCUUGCAAGCUAUCACUUAGAGAUGGGCCUGCGCACCAUUAGCUAGUUGGUAGGGUAACGGCCUACCAAGGCAAAGAUGGUUAGCUGGUCUGAGAGGAUGAUCAGCCACACUGGAACUGAGACACGGUCCAGACUCCUACGGGAGGCAGCAGUGGGGAAUAUUGCGCAAUGGGCGAAAGCUUGACGCAGCAACGCCGCGUGAGUGAUGAAGGCCGUCGGGUCGUAAAGCUCUGUCGGGAGGAACGAAUGCUCCUGAGGUUAACAGCCUCGGGAGGUGACGGUACCUUCAAAGGAAGCACCGGCUAACUCUGUG
rnacentral:rRNA from 1 species